GGCAAUCCUGCGCUGCGUUAACUAAAUUUUCAUGUCAUCGGGUGUAGUUCAUAAAGGUUGAAGAGUGUAUGUUAGGAUGAAGUGUGAAUUCAUGCCAGGAAUAAUAAGUGUGAAGUUUGAUUUCCUCCCUUCUGUAAUAAGCAGCCAAUGAGUUCUCACGGAAGGGGAUAAUUCUCACUGAAACUACAGAAUAAAGCCGCCAGUUAAAAUCAAGGAACGGUUGUGCUCGUGGUUACUGAAGGGAGCGACACGACCAUUAUCCGUUUCGAAUUCACCAACUCAGACGCUUGCCCGCUCCAUCAUAACUCCGUAAGUUUUCCCUCCCUGUGUAGAUCAAACGUCCUGCCUGUAAAUCCUGGGUAUGCCCACAUCAUUAAUGAAUAAGAUGUGUAGAAAACUGUUUAGCCAUAGAAGGCCUUUCAUAAAGCAGCUGUCAUGAUUGCAUGUGCCUCAUGUUUAACACGUAUUGCUUGUUACAGAAUACUACUGUUGUACAUCUAAUAUCCCCUAGCAGAUUUCGUUGCCUUUGCACAAAUUCUGUCAUGUUACUGUGGUCUUUUUAAAAGUCAAUAAAAAUGUGUGUAAAGUGUACAUGUUUGUUUCACUGUAGAUCUGUUUAAGACCUCCUAGAAACACCUAAUUUCAUCCCACAGCAUUAAUUAAUAAACUGUGUAGAAGCUGUUUAGCCAUAAGUAAAGGCCUUUCAUAAAGCGGCUGUCAUGAUAAACCUGAAUCUGAAAAUACCUUUAGGAUCUUUUCUUUGGGG